GGCCUAGCCAGGUUUGCAGCAGCUCUUCUUCUGUGGCUUGAUCCUAAGCAAGGGCAUUUUGCUUCCUGUUGCUGUGCAGGGAAAGAUGAGAGCUUCCCGGACUCUGCAGAGUGGGAGUGCUGUUUGCUGAAGGUACAGCAUUGCCAGGAGGUGUGGUACAGAGAAGUGCUUGCCUGCCUCAAGGAGCCCUGCUCCCUACAAGCCACCGCGGGACAGGAACAGCCUCUCAAACACUGCUGUGGAGUGGCUGCACGCCUUUGUGGCACUGCCUCUUCCUCUCUGUCCCAACCCCAAGAGGGGUCUUAGGAGAAGAGUGGCAGGAAGCCUUAAUGGAGGGAAUGCUAUGGGAGCUGGGAGAGGGACUGUUCUUCCAGGCACCUCUCCCCAGAAGGCUGCAGUGAUUUGGGAAUGAGGGAAGAGGCAGAGGGCAAGGGAACAUUGGCUUCUCCUGUUCUCCAGCAAUUCCUGAGGGCAUUGCUGGAGACCAUAGAGGACGAGGCCUGGACCGAGGCCCUGAGCUGUGAGCUGAGCAGGUGGCUGAGCUGCUCUCCCAGCAGCUCUGGAGAAAAGGUGGGCUCCCCCCCAGCUCUACCCAGCAGUCACCCAUGCAGUCUUUCCUGUAUAAGGCUCUGGGGACGGCACUGGGAGCUUGUAAAGGAGUCCUCCACAUCCAAGAGAAGCUGCUGCAGCACCUGGAGGAAACAAAUGCGGAGGAGCCAUCCAAGGCCCAGAUGGAGCUGGACAGCACGAGAGCUCAUGCCACACGCAGCUCUCUAAUCCUCGCCCAUGGCAGCUUAGCACUGCGUGCCUCCAAGGAACAGCUGCUUGCCUGCCUGGAAGGAGACAUCAUGGGCGACAUCCUGCUGCUCUACAGCUGCAGCUGCCGGGACUUGCUGAAGAAGUAUUACUUGGGCAUCCCUGUCUCCCAAGUGCCCCUCAGGGUGGUUCUGGCCCUGGAGCAGUUGAGAUGAAUUAUUCCGACUUUCCUUUCUCUGGAGAAACAUCCAUUGACAGCAGUGACAUCUUGCUUGAAGGAAGAUGGUGCUGAACAGAAAUCACAGCUGCUGUGGGAAAUGGUAUGUUACCGUGCCCAGCUGCUGUUUGCAGCCAACGAGCUAUUUCUGAGCAGGUUUCUAGUUUUAGACCAACGGGAACCUGUGAUUAUCAAAGAAGUUGUGAGAACCUCUUGAAUGCCCCAUCCCUGGAAGUCUUUAAGAACCGGUUGGAUGGGGCCCUGGGAAACAUGAUCUAGUGGAAGGUGUCCUUACCCAUGGCAGAGAAACUAGGUUACCUUUAAAGUUUCCUUUGAACACAAAGCAUUCCAUGAUUCUAUGAAUUUAGCCAUUACUGGGAGCUGUGAAAAUUUCACCAAGGAUACAAAAUUGCCAUGAAAAGAUCUAUGUAUUUUCUAACUUCCAAAUACGAAGUUACUCCACAUGCAUUUAAUCACUGUGUAUUUCUGUGUGUACGUUGUGAGCCCUGGGAAAACGUCCAGCAACCGAAGGAAAAACCGAAGGUUAAAUGAGAUCAAGUAACAAUGCUUUGGCUUUGGACAUGGAACAUGAAGAAGAGUUCCCACAACUGAAGUGGUUCAUGUGACAAGUGUCAAGUUUACACAACAAUAGAGGAAUGUCAUGCACAACUGUCAUCUGGAGCCUUCUUUGUGAAUAGAAUUUGCAUUUUGUCAUGGUAUCAACGUCCCAGUCUCCACUGUGCCUGAGAAUCAGGAACCUCAAAUUGUCCCUUGCAUGGCAGCAGCUAAUCAAGUUUUGAAGGCAAGGAAAUGAAGCUUCUAACAAAGCACUUUUUGAACAUGACCACUCUUUCACCAGAAGAACAGAGGACGUUUUCUCCCUUUCAGAAAAGUGCCAGGGACUCCCUUUCCCAGUGAGCAGUGAGGUGAGAGGUUAUAUUUGCAAAUCCUUUCUGAGCCCUGUGACACGCUUAUGGUGUAGAGGCCUUACAGAUCAUCUGUGAGGCAUACCUUACAAAUCAAAUCUCAUCGUAAACUUUGACACUGUACUGCUUAUGUAAUCAGAAGCAGGUAGCCACGAGUGAUUAUCUGAGCUCUGUGCCUCCCACUGGCAAGCUACCUUCAGAAAAAGAUGUUCUACUAGAGAUCUGCUUGAAAGAUAGGGAACUAUAAAGAAGACAUACAGUUACUUGUUUUUCCAUAGAUGGUUGCAAUAAAAUUUAGUUACUGGCAAAUGUGCCAUAUGUAUAUGCACUAAGAAACAAUAGGUUUUCUGCAUUCUGUAGCUUUGCAUUUCCUGGGUCUGAAGCCAUGACAGCCAUAAUUUCAUUGUUUGGCUGAGUUAAUGUGGCAUAUGCAGGUAUCAAUGCUGCUUUCUCAUGAAGACUGGACUCUUAACUUUGAUGUUUUGUUGCUUUUCCUUCAUCAGGUAUAGGUUUCUUGGGCAUAGGCAAAACUUUUUAGAGCAUGAAAAGAUAUACUGGCAAGAAUGAACAUUCUUACUGGAGAGUGAGUGCUUACAUGUUGUCAGUGGUACAGGUUUAGAGGGAACAUAGCAACAUAGCACAGAGAAGGAACUUGGAAUGAGUAUAAGGUAAUCCCUUGAAAGACUGAGGCUAUUUUAGAGGUCAUGCCAAUAUAUUCACCUUCUGUGAGGCACAAGGCUGUUCAUUAACCACUUCAUUAUUACAGAAAUGGCAGUGGUGAUAAAUUCUAUUAAUGCCCAUCUACUUCCUAGAUUUAUGUGAUUUAAACUUUCAUUCCCCCACCAGACUCACAGGUGCCUCAAAGGUACUGUAUAUAUUCAGCAGCCCUACAGAGUUUACAUGUUUAAUGCAUGAAAUUGCCCAUGUCCAAUCUCUCCUCUUUUAUUAUCAAGGCAUAAAGUAAUGAUAAGUAGGAGUACCCAACUAGGAAAGGUGAGAUCUCAGAUCCAAACCUGCCUAAGAUAAAUAUUUAAUAAGAAAGGGUCAUAUUUAUUAAUAAUAUCUUAAUAGUAUAGUCUUUAAAGGAUAGAGGGACUUUAAAACAGGUCUCAUGUAGGUCUUCAAGCAGCCAGGCUUCAGGGUCUGCAUUCUCCUUCUCUGCAGAACAGUUAACUAUUUCCACAGCACUGAUUUCUCAUUACCAUGGAAAGUUUUGGACUAGCCCACUUGGAAUGCCUGGCCUCUUGGAAUGUAGCUAUUCUGACAAAAUAAACACGGUCAGCACGGUUUAAUGGUCAGCACACUCCUGGUUUUGGCCAGGGUCAGCCAGCACAAACCUCAGUAAUACCUUGGCACAGUUUAAGUGUUAACACCCUUCAAUGUCAUCUUCCAUGGGCAGUUUGAAAGUGGUUUCUCAUCUUUGGAAAUGUUAGAGAGUGUGGCUAUGACAUCAGGAGUUGUACCAUGCCAUGUUAGGCAUGUUUGCAUGGGUUACAUCACCCCUGCAUUUUCUUAUAGAUAAGGGCAAGGCUCCAAUCCUGCUGCUUUCAGACAUCCCGCUCAAUCCCUCAUGUCUUGACUUCAUGUCAUGAUGUAUCCUUUUCCUUCAGCUGUCUGUUGUGAAUAGGAUCUGCAUAGUGUGCAGAUUCUUGCUGAGUUACAAGGACGUGAGUUCCUAUAGUUGGAUGCCAAGCCCUGGGAGAUACAUCCCUCUCUGCAACAUUUCCUGUUUCAGUCAGUUUGGUCUGCUGCUAGAUAAGACUGAUCAUACGAGAUACACCUGUGCUUUGUCUGUGAAAUUUGGACACCCAGGCUGAGGGCUCCCAGAGAUAUGGAAAUAGGCAGUGUUGGGAAGUUCCAUGAUGAGCACGGUCAUGCGUAUGUACUCUAGAAUCCCAGGCAUAAGGGAUUACCGUGAACACACUGUAUCAACAUAGAAGCAUGAAACAUGGAACUUCCUCUUGAUUUCCUUGGUAAGAAGCACAUUGAUAUUUGGCAUGGAAGAGUCUAGUCUGUGCUUGGUGUGCAAUGCAAAUGUUUCUUUCUAAUUCAUUUCCUGCAUAAUUAGUAUAGGCUGCUAUAAAUCAUUCUGCAUAGUCACGACAUUGCAGGACUUUAUCAUUUUUGUAGGCCAGAGAGAGUCGCUGCAGUUCAGACAGAACAGUUCUGGCCUACUAGCUCAGCAGAGAAGACAACAGAGCACAGGUAGAAGAAAAAACCUUACCGUUUUAAAAACUGAGCCAAGGAAAUUGUCUCACACAUGCACAUUGAAAUCUUUACUGAUGCUUAAAGCUUAGUUCACUGGUACAAUGCUGACGUGGCUGGGUGGAGUCUUUGACAUCUCAUUAUCUCGACAUAAUGUCACAUUACUCUGAUGCACAUUCUGUUGUUAAAAUGUUAAAAUAACUCUUCAUUAUGUGAGAUACUACUGGUAUAUUUAAACAUCAUAGAGUCACAAAACCUGCUCAUAAAACAAACAUAUUCUAAACAUAUGUCAAGCACUCUCAAAAUUUGUACAAAAUGAUCUGAUGGUAGCUGGUGUCAUUACAUUUACGAGUUUUGGACACAAUGCCAUAUAGCAGACCGGCUGUGUGUCAUCAAGAGGAGAGGCUGACUUUAAGUAGCACUACAGGAGAAGAGAAACAAAAGAGAACCAAAUGAGUCAUUUUUAGAAAACAAAACUGGACAUCUUCUGGUAUACUCGAAGUUUUGCAAACUCUGUCUUAAAAAUCUUUUAAGGAAAUAGUCUCCUUUUUACAAUGGGAAGUUAGAAUUUAUAGUUGAUAAUUAUUAUUUAUGAUCCAUAAUGUCAAAUAGUAAAGAAAUGAGUAUGUUUCUGAACUCUUAAUCUUUUCAGCCAUUAGAUUUGGGAGUUUUUGUAAUGCAUAAUAUUGAUUGAUGUUGUUUGUCUAUGUGAUGAUUAAAUCCUGAAAUCAAUUUGGAGUUACCUUGUUGCAAAUUGGUUUUGUAAAUAGAUCAAAGAAGGAUUUCAGAAUGACUUUCUCGUAUUUUCUGUUGUGCUUGUCUAAUAAUCAGAAUAAAGAGGAUUUUAGUAGAUGAGGCUGCUUUAAAGUGGAUCAUUGGUAAGAUACUACACUACGCACACAUCUAAUAGAUAGCAAGUGAAUUGAUACUACAUUUUAUUUGGGCUAUGGGGAAAAGAUCCCUUUUCAUCAUAGAUUCUACAUGUAACAGAAAGAC
ensembl:lncRNA